AGAGUUUGAUCAUGGCUCAGGACGAACGCUGGCGGCGUGCUUAACACAUGCAAGUCGAACGAUGAAGCUGGAGCUUGCUCCAGUGGAUUAGUGGCGAACGGGUGAGUAACACGUGAGCAAUCUGCCCUUGACUCUGGGAUAACUGCGGGAAACUGUAGCUAAUACCGGAUACGACACCUUGGGGUAUCCCGAGGUGUGGAAAGAAUUUCGGUCAAGGAUGAGCUCGCGGCCUAUCAGCUUGUUGGUGAGGUAAAAGCUCACCAAGGCGACGACGGGUAGCCGGCCUGAGAGGGUGACCGGCCACACUGGAACUGAGAUACGGUCCAGACUCCUACGGGAGGCAGCAGUGGGGAAUAUUGCACAAUGGGCGAAAGCCUGAUGCAGCAACGCCGCGUGAGGGAUGAAGGCCUUCGGGUUGUAAACCUCUUUUAUCAGGGAAGAAGCGAAAGUGACGGUACCUGAAGAAAAAGCACCGGCUAACUACGUGCCAGCAGCCGCGGUAAUACGUAGGGUGCAAGCGUUGUCCGGAAUUAUUGGGCGUAAAGAGCUCGUAGGCGGUUUGUCGCGUCUGCUGUGAAAAUCCAAGGCUCAACCUUGGACCUGCAGUGGGUACGGGCAGACUAGAGUGCGGUAGGGGGAGAUGGGAAUUCCUGGUGUAGCGGUGGAAUGCGCAGAUAUCACGAGGAACACCAAUGGCGAAGCACAUCUCUGGGCCGUAACUGACGCUGAGGAGCGAAAGCGUGGGGAGCGAACAGGAUUAGAUACCCUGGUAGUCCACGCCGUAAACGGUGGGUGCUAGUUGUGGGCCACAUUCCACGUGGUCCGUGACGAAGUUAACACAUUAAGCAC
rnacentral:rRNA from 1 species